rnacentral:lncRNA from 1 species
CUGCUCUGUCCCAGUGGUAGUCUCGGUCAUGCAUUCCUUUGGAUAUCCCCCUUCUUCUUUCCUUUCUUUUUUUCUUCUUUCUUUCUUGUUCUUCUACAUUCCUUUCUUUCCUUUCCUUUCCUUUUUCUAUCCUUUUCUUAUCCGAUUAUUUCUUUUUUUUUUUUCUUCUUUCUCUUUCCUUUCUUCCUUCUUUCCUUCCUUUCUUUUUCUUCUUCCUUUCUUUCUUUUCUUUUCUUUUUCUUUCCUUUUACUUUUUCCUUUUCUUCAUCUUUCCUUCCUUUCUUUCCUCUUUCUUUCUCUCUCCUUGCAUGGAUGGGUUUUGGAGUCCCAUGCCGUCUCGGUCCAGUUUAUUUGUAGGGACGCCUCUUAUCCCGACGGGACUUAAAAACCUUGCUUUAAACAUAACUUUUGAUAGGGAUUCUGCCUCCUCUGCAUGGAUUGUUCUUUUUUUUGACCUUUCAAGUUCUCUUUAACCUUCCAAUAGGUAUCAAAUAUUCAAUUCACAUAUUUUAUAUGAUUGAAAGGAUGACUAAGGUAUCUCAAUAUAAGCUACACCAUUGUGCAUCCGGUGUUUUGAAUCCAUUGACUUGGGCCAAAUUGAUUGGGUAGCUGUUCAUGAGUUUGUGGCUGACCGCUGUUCAAUGAGUUGACCAGGAUUAGAGAUAAAUUGUGAUACAAUCUUAAAGAAUCUUUUUCUUUCCACAUCCAUCUCUCUUCUCUACCAAUGUAGACCUUUUCAGCUUCUUCUAACCCCCUACUAUAGAGGCCAUCUCCUUCACCAUCUCUUAUGCCUGCAUCGCCAUCUACAUCCCAGCAUUUUCUUCUCCAAGGCCUCCAACAUACAGCAACGUUUUUAUCGAGCUUUGCCAACAGCUCCCCUUUUCUAGAUCACCUUCAAUUGGAGGCCUAUGACAUUGCACUCUUUAUCGCCUUUAACUUGAGCCCCAUCAACAUUGCUUUCCUUAACUAUCAUGUUCAUGUUGAGCACCUCCCCACCUCCGCAUCUCCAAUUAACUUCUACUAUAAUUCCGCUCAUUGGCCUUCUUGAUAACUGUCUCUCCCUUGAUUGUUCCCUAGCCAGUCACCAGCCAUCAGAAACCACUAGUUUGAAAAAAUUGUGGUGGGAUUGAGAGUGAAUUGAAAGCAAGAUAGGGACUAGGGCACAUGAAGAAUUAUUGAGGUAUUUUUUAUUUAUUUUUCCUUCAUUAAGCAUCAUACAUUAAAAAAUGACCCCAAUGACAAUAAAUGUGUAAGCAAUUUUUUUAUAUAAAAAAUCUAUGGUUAGUUUUGAUUAGUUUUGGCUGAAAUUAAUUGAAAUUGACUGAAACUCAAAAUUGACCUAUCAAUUUCAGUUUGAUCCAAGGAUUUAGGACUAGUUCUGACUCGGUCCUUCUCGGUUGCCCUACAUUUGGUUGGUGAGAGACUGGGUCCUAGUGUGGCUGUGAACCCUAGGUCCAUAUGAACAAGCGUUCCUCGUUUGUUCUAGUUGGUACCAGCCUCGAUGGAUUAAGAUAGUAAGCAGGGUGGGUGAUGACACCGUCCCAACAUUUUGGGAUGGCAAUGUCCCAGUACUUCAUAGGGGUGCUAUUUUUUUUUAAAAAAAUUCUUGGUCUCGUUUGUUAUUUUUAAUGGUUGUUUAGAGGCUUUUUAGGAUUUAUUAAUAUUAUUAUUUAAGAUAGGGGAUGUUUUUGAUAGUUUAGGGUUUGGGUUUUGGUCUCAAACGCCUAGGGUUGAAGGCUCGAGCAAUGAUUUGCUAGCACAUAAAUACAAGACACAAUAUUAUAAAAAAAGGGAUAAUAAGAGGAAGAAGGGGGAAGAGAACUCAGAUCAUGUGUACCAUAAAUCCAAUGCCUGAUUGGUACUAAAUUUAUUCCAGUACCGGCAUCAAUACCAUAAACCCCAAUCAUGGGCUCAAAACCUUUCCUAAUCAUAAUGACAACAAACCCCAAAAAACCCUUUUAACAAUCAUUAAAAACAACAAACAACAAUAAAAAAACAAAAACAAAAAAAAAUUGGCAUCUCAGUGAAUCACCAGAAUGCUAAGCUGCCCCAACUGUUGGAAUAGCAUUGUUGUGUCCAGUCCCUAACUGAUACUGAAUUGGACUAGAAUUUAAAACCCUGUUUUGGUCUUUUGCCAAAAGCAAUUUAAAUCAGCUGAAACUUCUAACCUAUUAUGAGAUAGUUCUGGCCAACUCUAUGAUAAGCAAGAAUUUAAGUCUCAAUAGAAUGGGGCAUGUGGGACUGUAACUGUCGUAGCCAGCAAAUGUGCUGUUUUGUGCAGAAAUAGAAGGUAAAAAAGGGAUCGAAAAACUCAUUUUAAUUUAGCAAUAGUAGAAAAUAUUUAAUGAUUUGUUUUGGAUGCUAGUAUUAGCUCGGCACACUGCAUGCUGGCGGGCAUGAACCAGCACCGAAUGGCGCUUGCAAGUUUGUAGAAUUUGACUAAGAGUAUGUUGGGUUGUUUGGAAUUUGAAUACACUGUAAAGAUAAAUAUAGUCAUAUUUGGAAAAGACUCGUCUCUAUAUUGUUUUAGUUUUCCCACCAUCCAAACAACUAGAAAAUUUAGUUUUUCCGAAAACUUGAGCUUUCCAAAGCCUUUACCAAGAAACCAAACGUACCCUAAUUGUCGGUAAUUGUAUAUUCUUGGGCAGCAAUAAAUUAAUCGAGAAAAAUGUUUUGUUGAUGCAUGUUGGUUUGGACUGACAUUCUUGCAAUAAAUUUUUGCAUUUCAUAUUUAUUCAAAAAUGAGGUAAAUUAGAACUUACAAUCAUGUAACAUGAACUUUGCUCUGCUUGUGAUUUGGGAGAUCUGUUUGUGAAUUUGUAAAGUCUAAUAAAAAAAUGUGAGGCGACUUCAGAUUUUUGAUGCUAUAAUGUUAUAUUGCAACUACUUGACCAUCUACAUUUGCAUUAUACAUGCUCUUAUCUGGAAAAUACCAAGUAAAUAGUUUCUAUGAAUGAUCUUGCCCUGUUCUAUAUGUUUCUAACAAAAUCUGUGUUUGCCAUAGAAGUAAUUUUGGCUUUAGCUCGAGAGUUUUGCUCAUGUUAAUUGUCCUGUCUGCAUCGUACUUUUUACUGUUCUUUGUUUCUUUCGAUGUUUAGUAUGGCUAUGAUUAGGAUAGUUCAGGAAUUUGGUCUUUAAUGGAAACAAGAUUGUGAUGGUGAUCAUGUGCUACAAAUAUCAUUUUAAGAUUUCCAAGUUUAUCUUGUCCACUCAAAACUGAGAACAGAGUUCGGUUUGGAAGUGUUUGUUUUCAUUGAGGAUGUUACCUUCGUAGGAAUGGACAGUGGAAAACAACCCACAAAUACAAAUCUUACUGGUCCAAUUACAGAUACCAGUUUACCACUUUGUAUUGGAGUUAAUUUUUAUAUUGAAGUCGUAGUUACGGAAUAUUGCUUGACAUAUGCAUUAUUCUUCAAUUUUGAGCCUGACAUCAAUUCUUUAAUUUGGCAGAAUUUGAUAGAUGUGAAAUACCACUGGACCUGAUGAACAGCUGUGAAGCGUUGCAUUUUCUCUUGAUGUCCUCAGGUUGGAUUCCUGCUGACCAUUUCUUUCACAAUUUUCUUAUUAAAUCUUGUGCCUUCCAUUCUGUGUGGAAUUUUUUGCUCCGCCAGUCUGUUUUUGAAUCUGUAUUAACAAUGGAAGGCAGUAAAAUUGGAAAAGAUUUUGCAACUGCAAUAUUUGCUGCAUUCUGUUUAAUCAAUUGAAUGUGGUUAAAAAGUACAUAGAAUGGUGGUCUCCUGGUCUGUUGUGUCUAAACCUGUUAUUUAAAUUCCCCAAGCUGUAUGUUGGCUCGCUUGUUCUGAAGUUCACUUCAGCACAACUCAUACGACCAAAAGCUUGAUGUUUGCUUCCAUAUCGCCUUCCUGCAAGUGUUGCUAUUUGCCAAAUAUAUUAUGCAAUUUUUUAAUAGAAACACUAAACGUUAGGUAUUGUCUUCCAUCAUGCAUGUAUUGUUUUCACAUAUAUUAUUCGGAAUGACUCUGCUUGAUUACCAGCUUAACUUAAAUAAGAGAUAUGCGAAUAAGGUUAUUGACUAUAUCAUUCAAUGAAAAUGACUUGAGUUGCUUUUAAGCUAGCACUGCGACGCAAGCUCUUUUGGAAUAUGUACAUUACUUGGUUAAAUACCGAUUAUAGGGGUGAAUUCAUGGUUACACGAACUGGGAUGCAAUAAUUCUGUUUAAGACUAAACGUUACGAGGAUAUAUAGAGGGUUGUUGACCCAACAAAAGUUUCUCGCUCGCCUACGGCUCACUAACUGUCUUCUUUAUUCUUUGCUUCUCAAUUUUCGGUUUUGAAACCUUCAGAACAAAAGAAAAAUUUUCUAUAAUAGGUAUCGAUUUGCGACUCAAAGUAGGGAUUUCAGGAAAUUUCCGGUUGCAAUGCAAAGUCGGUUAAUAGAUCAAUUUCUUUCCGUAUUAAAUAUGUGAUUCCUCAGAACCUGUGAGUGGUGAAUGUAGCGUAUUAAACUUCACAUUGCUUGGUGGCCCCUACCUGUGCACUGAAUAUAGCUGGACCCAUUUGGCUGGUGCUUCGUCGUCAUCGUCUUAGACGAACUCAAACACCACCAAACGUUUUCCGUGGCUUACUGCGAUGGAGACGAUGCAACCACUACCUAAAUUAGCUUCCGCCCUCCAGCCUUUAUCAGGUAUCAGCAGUGCCGUCGGUACCACGCCAUGGUUCAAGGUCUUGAAUCAUUGGCACCGUAAGUGGUACCCGUUCCCCCAACAGCUCGGCCUGGCUGUCUACAUUCCUCGGCGACUCCUCAUGCACCGAAGGCUCCGCUUAAAAGAGCUGCAGGAGUGCUUGUUCCCCAGAAACAGCGGAGCAAUUAGUCAGUAUAUUUCUUAAUAUACUAAUAAAAUUUAACUUAAUUAUUUCUAAUAAUAAAGUAAUGUGGGAUUGUGCAUUAUUUUAAUAUAUUAUUCUGCUAUUAUUAUUAUUGUGUUCCGUCUUUUUGGUUAAAUCGUGUUAAAGAAUAUUCUUCUUUUUUAUUGCACGUCUACUCGCAGACAAAAGAAAGCAUGCGUUAACAUCAUCAAAUUCUGCAAAGAGUUGUGAUCGAACAACUUGUUCGCAUGGUGGUGAUCUGGUCAAACCUUGUGAUGCUUCUGUUGCUUCCAUCAGUGGUGGUGGGACGCAACCGAAACAUCAGCUGGUGCAACAGUCUGUGUUAGAUUUCUGUGCUGCUUUCACCUUUUUGAGAGAGCAAGUUUUCUCCCAUUCGUGCAUUCCGAUGUCGUCUUGGAAGGGGAAGGGCAAUCUUAUCAUGCCCGUUUCCACUGAACCAAACAUAUGUGCCUGCCCCUUCUCCCAUUCCUAUCAUGUCCUAUCUGCUUAACCAUAAUAUACAAACUUCUACACUUAGAGUGGAUCUUUCAUGGGAAAUCUAUUUAGAUCUGGAUUAGAUGAUUAAAGCUUCACAUCGGUAAUUCAAGCUGUUGAAUAUAAAUUACAAUCUCUAAAUUAUAUGUAUAUAUAUAUAGUUUAUGUACUAAGUGGUAAAAAAAAUUGUAUAGUUUAAAUAGCAGACAAUAAUACAUCCAUUUUUACCAUUCAAUGCAUAAACUAAGAGUAGGCCUAUUCAAGAGCUGGACGGCCAUCUCAGCAGGCUUGGGCCAAGGUUUUAGGCAUCUAAAAAAUAAGCUUGCUUAUUAUAGGCUGGCUCAGGCUUGAGGAUUAAAGCCUGAUUUGAGCCAAGUUGGCUCUUUCUUUUAUUUAACUUUAUAUUUUUACGAUUAAAUUGUAAGUUUUGUUGAUAUGCAAUUUAAUAGGAGAAGAUCGAUAAUCUUAGAAUAGUUAUCAGGUAUUCAAACUGCUGUUAAUAUAUUUAAUUAUUCAUCUUUAAUAUUUUUAUAGCAUUUUAGUAUUUUUUUUUAGAAAUCAGAAAAAAUGUUGAGAAGUUGGAUAUCUAGCCUGGUGCCCAAAGGUCAAGUAAGCGUCGAGUUUAGGCCCAUAAACUAGGCCCAAAUUCCAGGCAGGGCACGGUUCAGGCCUAAACAAAUUGUAUUAUUUUGGACAAAACCCAAUCACCGGUUUGGUUUUNNNNNNNNNNNNNNNNNNNNNNNNNNNNNNNNNNNNNNNNNNNNNNNNNNNNNNNNNNNNNNNNNNNNNNNNNNNNNNNNNNNNNNNNNNNNNNNNNNNNNNNNNNNNNNNNNNNNNNNNNNNNNNNNAAAUAUAGAUAUAGAUAUAUAUAGAAUAAUAAAGUAAAAUAAGGAUUUAGAAAUCUUUUCCCUUUUGAAGAAGGAAGGUGCAUUAAAGAAAAAGGUCACCCUCCCUAUCUUCCAAAUUAAUACUUAUCGGACUAAUUUUGAAGAGGAGUUCCGGACGUUCCUGGUACCAGAGUCUACUUUUUCUAUCGAACUUUGCUAAAUUGUGCCUCUUUUAAUGCUAUGCCUUUAAACAACCCUCGAGGCUUGUAGCCAAAUACCAUGCCUCCAUCUGUUUCCUGACUAUGUCGUUGACCUUCAAGCAGAUUAUUGCUGCCGAACUACAAGAUUCUAGUUUAGCAAAAGAAAAAAAAAAACUACAAGAUUCUUAAAUACACAACCCAAAAACACAAAAUUUCGUAUAUUAUAAAAUUGAAUGGCCCCACCGAUCCUCCAUACCAGACUUGGUAGAUUAAAAGUCAUAAUCUCAUCAAAGAAAAUAAAAAGGUAAGGAAGCUCAUUUAAUAAUAGGAAAUUCUACAACAACGUAACUUGGAGUAGAGCCUGGAUAAACAUGAUUUUUUCUGGUCAUUUACUUCUACUUCUUCCCAAUCCAAUUCAGUCUCUAGGUGAUUCUUUCCCAUCUAAACUCAAUGCCACUCUUCCCCUAAAUCCUUUUAACCCCCCCUCUAACCUCCUCCCACCUUCAAACACC